rnacentral:tRNA from 4 species
GCCGAGGUAGCUCAGUCGGUAGAGCAGUGGACUGAAAAUCCGCGUGUCGGCAGUUCGAUUCUGUCCCUCGGCA